AACCCCCCGCGUGGCGGCAUCUCGCCCAACUCCCCCAGGGCGGAAACGCAGCAAGGGUAAGUGAGCUCUGUCGGGUGCGCGGGGGGCCUUU
rnacentral:SRP_RNA from 1 species